UGGUCGAUGCCCAGGACGUGCUUACUUCGCCUUCUAAGCGGGAGGUCGCGGGUUCAAAUCCCGCCCGGCCAC
rnacentral:tRNA from 1 species